UAAGGAAUAUUGGUCAAUGGACGCAAGUCUGAACCAGCCAUGCCGCGUGAAGGAUGAAGGUCCUCUGGAUUGUAAACUUCUUUUAUCUGGGACGAAAACGGGAUUUUUAUCUCAAUUGACGGUACCAGAGGAAUAAGCACCGGCUAACUCCGUGCCAGCAGCCGCGGUAAUACGGAGGGUGCGAGCGUUAUCCGGAUUUACUGGGUUUAAAGGGUGCGUAGGUGGGCUUAUAAGUCAGUGGUGAAAUCUCCGAGCUUAACUUGGAAACUGCCGUUGAUACUAUAGGUCUUGAAAUAUCUGGAGGUAAGCGGAAUAUGUCAUGUAGCGGUGAAAUGCUUAGAUAUGACAUAGAACACCAAUUGCGAAGGCAGCUUACUACAUAUAAAUUGACGCUGAGGCACGAAAGCGUGGGGAUCAAACA
rnacentral:rRNA from 1 species